rnacentral:rRNA from 1 species
UACGGAGGAUUCAAGCGUUAUCCGGAUUUAUUGGGUUUAAAGGGUGCGUAGGCGGGCUGAUAAGUCUGUUGUGAAAGGUUAAGGCUCAACCGUGAAAUUGCAAAUGAUACUGUUGGGCUAGAGUAUACAUGAGGUAGGCGGAAUUUGAGGUGUAGCGGUGAAAUGCUUAGAUAUCUCAAAGAACUCCAAGUGCGAAAGCAACUCGCUGAGCUAAAACUGACGCUGAUGCACGAAAGUUUGGGUAGCAAACAGG